AUGUACACGUACGCUCUGGUUCCCCGCGCCGUCCGCAUCUACCUGGUGGUUGCUCGCUACGUUUUCUCAUCG
rnacentral:sRNA from 1 species